GGUAAAAUGACUGAGUAAGCAUUAGACUGUAAAUCUGAAGACAGAGGUCAAGGCCUCUUUUUACCA
rfam:Gorilla gorilla gorilla genomic chromosome, chr8, whole genome shotgun sequence